GGUAGCAUAAUCAUUUGCCUCUUAAUUAGUGGCUAGUAUGAAUGGACAAACGAGAAUUCCCCUGUCUCUAUAAAGCCAAUGAAAAUUAAUCUUCAGGUGAAGAAGCCUGAAUCUCAUUAAAAGACAAAAAGACCCUAUUGAGCUUACAUUCAAUCUCUAAAAUAUUAAAAUAAAAUAAAACUACCCUUUUUACAAGAAUUUUGCUGGGGCGGCAAAGGAACAACCAAAAAUUCCUUUUCUCAAAGACUUAUAAGUCUAUUAACUGAUCCGUAUUAACGAUUAACAAAACUAGUUACCAUAGGGAUAACAGGCUAAUUUUUCUCUAAAGCUCACAUUAACAGAAAAGAUUGGCACCUCGAUGUUGGCUUAGGAUAUCCUAAGGGCGCAGAAGCCUUUUAAGGUGGGUUUGUUCAACCUUUAAAAUCCUACGUGAU
rnacentral:rRNA from 1 species